rnacentral:rRNA from 1 species
CGUAGGUGGCAAGCGUUGUCCGGAUUUACUGGGCGUAAAGGAUGCGUAGGUGGAUAUUUAAGUGGGAUGUGAAAUACCCGGGCUCAACUCGGGUGCUGCAUUCCAAACUGGAUAUCUAGAGUGCAGGAGAGGUAAGUGGAAUUCCUAGUGUAGCGGUGAAAUGCGUAGAGAUUAGGAAGAACACCAGUGGCGAAGGCGACUUACUGGACUGUAAUUGACACUGAGGCAUGAAAGCGUGGGGAGCAAACAGGAUUAGAUACCCUGGUAGUCCACGCCGUAAACGAUGGGUACUAGGUGUGGGAGGUAUCGACCCCUUCCGUGCCGCCGUUAACACAAUAAGUACCCCGCCUGGGGAGUACGGUCGCAAGAUUA